CUAGGAGGUGUCACUAAAUAGGGGAUGGCGACUGUUUAAUAAAAACACAGGACUCUGCUAAAUCGUAAGAUGAUGUAUAGGGUCUGACACCUGUCCGGUGCUGACAAGUUAAGAGGAUAUGUGCAAGCAUAGAAUCUAAGCCUCAGUAAACGACAGCCGUAACUCUAACGGUUCGAAGGUAGCGAAAUUCCUUGUCGGG
rnacentral:rRNA from 1 species